GACGAACGCUGGCGGCGUGCUUAACACAUGCAAGUCGAACGGAAAGGCCCUGCUUUUGUGGGGUGCUCGAGUGGCGAACGGGUGAGUAACACGUGAGUAACCUGCCCUUGACUUUGGGAUAACUUCAGGAAACUGGGGCUAAUACCGGAUAGGAGCUCCUGCUGCAUGGUGGGGGUUGGAAAGUUUCGGCGGUUGUGGAUGGACUCGCGGCUUAUCAGCUUGUUGGUGGGGUAGUGGCUUACCAAGGCUUUGACGGGUAGCCGGCCUGAGAGGGUGACCGGCCACAUUGGGACUGAGAUACGGCCCAGACUCCUACGGGAGGCAGCAGGGGGGAAUAUUGCACAAUGGGCGGAAGCCUGAUGCAGCAACGCCGCGUGCGGGAUGACGGCCUUCGGGUUGUAAACCGCUUUCGCCUGUGACGAAGCGUGAGUGACGGUAAUGGGUAAAGAAGCACCGGCUAACUACGUG
rnacentral:rRNA from 1 species